GACGAACGCUGGCGGCGUGCUUAACACAUGCAAGUCGAACGGUGAAGGGGCCUGCUUUUGUGGGCCCUGGAUGAGUGGCGAACGGGUGAGUAACACGUGAGUAACCUGCCCCCUUCUUCUGGAUAACCGCAUGAAAGUGUGGCUAAUACGGGAUAUUCUGGGUCUGUCGCAUGAUGGGUCUGGGAAAGAUUGCGCCUUUGGGUGGUUUUGGUGGGGGAUGGGCUCGCGGCCUAUCAGCUUGUUGGUGGGGUGAUGGCCUACCAAGGCGGUGACGGGUAGCCGGCCUGAGAGGGUGGACGGUCACACUGGGACUGAGACACGGCCCAGACUCCUACGGGAGGCAGCAGUGGGGAAUAUUGCACAAUGGGCGCAAGCCUGAUGCAGCGACGCCGCGUGAGGGAUGGAGGCCUUCGGGUUGUAAACCUCUUUCGCCAGUGAAGCAGGCCUGCUCCUUGUGGGUGGGUUGACGGUAGCUGGAUAAGAAGCGCCGGCUAACUACGUG
rnacentral:rRNA from 1 species